CUUGCCCAAAAGCAAUUCCCGCUGGAAAAAGUCAAAAGGGUUCCUGGCAUUAAAAAGACCUUGCGUCAUUCCUGAUGAAAUUAGCAGCGUCGCAUGUUUAGGGACUGCUAUGGAUGCACUUUGGUCAAAGUGAAGAGGCAGGGAUUUGGGGUUUAAGCCCCCGUCUGGUCAGUAGCCGUCUGCUUUCACUGGCUGCGAACCCCGGGACCAGCACUUGAAAGCAUCUCAGACCCGCAGUCCAUUUUUUACUUGUCUUUAAGUGCAUGCGAUGGGAAUUGCUAACCUCGGCUAAGGAAAUUUCAUUUCCCCUAUCCUGCUAAACGGUUCUGGUCGACAUAUGUUUGUUAUCAGAGAGAAGUGCUAUGAACACAGAGCCAUUUUCUUAGCAGCUCUUUGACUCUGCGUUACCAUAGUCCCACACGGCAUUGGUCCUUUCCCGUUGGGAAGUCAUGAAUAAGAGACUAUGAGGCUUGCACGUCAGAUCUUCCUCAAUUAAUCCACCAUUAGCAUGUUUGGGAUCCUCUACUGGAUGGUUAACAGCAGCUUUGGUAACUGUAUGCUGUCCAUACCCAAUUAUGCUCUGCUAAAAAUGAACUCUGCAGAACAACCUUCCUGAGCUCCCACAUUCAGCUGAGAGGCGACCGCCGGGGACACGGGAAGCGAGAGCAGCCGCCGAGGUGCGAAUGCAGCGAGCCGCGGCCGUGGAGGCGCCGGGUCCUGCCCGGGUGGAUCCGUGCUAAUCCGGCGCCGGGAGGGAGCAGCUUCUGCCGCCCGGAGCCCGUCCCCAGCGCACGUCAGAUGACUCCCCGGUUUUACACACGGUUGGAGUUCUGCUCGAAACCUGGAUUUAAAGGGAAUCUGUUGCCGUGUGUGACAUCUCUUGCGAGCUCCCAGAGAGAACUGAUGGAGCAUACAGCUAGGGAAUAGGAUGCUGGAGAAGCUCAGGGGGAGACGCCAGGCAAUCACCAGGACGGGGAGGAACGGCGCUCGUUGGAUAUGGGACGAGAUCUCGCAGCCCUUGUGGAUUCUCCUUCCUCUAGAGGGGAAUUAUAGUUAUGGAUUUAUUGUCCCGGUGCAGCACUUCCACCAGCGGCAGCAGCAACAGCAGCAGCUUUCUGACUCUCUUCGGUGACGGGUAUUCUUGGGUGGAUAAUACGGAUUACGUUGUUAUUGCUUAAGAAUACGCGUAGUCGAGGAGAGUACCGGCGGCGGGCAGGCAGGCAGGCAGCGCGACCGCCCCCAGCCCUCCAGCUGGCUCCUACAGCCUCUAGUUGCCAAGGUGAGCCCCAGACCUGCCCGUGGUCAGCACUCUCUGACUUUGGCCCCACCAUGUAGAUGGAGCAACGUCCUGUGUGCCCGGCUGCUGCAUGGAGCUGCCCAUGUGCUGGCACCCUGACCCAGCAGAGAUGCUGCCAGUGCCGGCUCCACCCUGCUCGCUGCUGCCUGCCCACCUGUCUCCUUCCCCCAAGCCAUGGCCCACACCACCACCACCACCGGCAUCUCCGUCGCUACCCACAGCACAAAUGCAACAUGGAACAGCGAGUGUGGCUUGAGCAGGCUGAGCUUGUUAAAAUUGCAGUUAAAUAAAUUGUAGGGCUGUAAUACUGGGAGGCUGAUUGGGAUCACAAGAUAUCAGUGUCAUAUCCUGUGGCUUUUAUGUAGUGAGAUGUAGAUUUUUGCCAUCACCAUCUGGCUAUCCAACAGAUAACAACCAGAGAAAAUGGACUUGCAAAUCUCCAGUUGUGAAUAACUGAUAUAUUGUUGCCAGUAAAACGAGGACCUGGUAAACUGCCAGAAGGAAAAGUUUUUUUGAGUAUGAUCAGACUUUUAAUAUGUGUCAGCUUUUGCCUAUGUGUAAAUUAAAGAAACUCCCUAAUUACCAUACAUUUUAAACAGUGUGUCUAGAGAACUCUGGUCCUGUAGAACCCAGAUGUGGCUAUGUUAUCAGCUUCAAAUUCAGGCAAGUAAAUAAAGUAGCAAAUGUACGACUCAACUGGUGUAUCUGCACAGUACAGAUCAUCUAGGUGUGGGUUAAAUGCUAUGAGGAAAGAACAAGAAAUAAGCAAAAAAUACAGUAGUGUAGAAUAUGCAUGUUCUUAACUUCUAGAAAAUCUCAACAGCUGGAAUUUUAGAAUGUGAUAUUUAGACAAAUGUAAAGAGAGAAACAGUGUGUUUUUCUCUGGAGAAAAAUGAAAUAGGUGUACAGAUCAAAUUAUAACACUUAGUCCUUCUAGGACAAAUUCCAGUUGAGGAUCGUGAAGUAAUCUGAAAAUAUUAAUGAUUUAGCCUCACAGCUAGAUUUCAGGUAGAUAAUAAUAAUUAUUGCUACAAAUAAUUUCCUUCAUUCUUGCUCUGAAAUGAAAAUUGAGGCAUAGAAGUUUUAUGUAUUUGUCCAAAGUCCAUUUUACUGCUGUAACCAUCCUUCUAUAGAUUUACUUCGUAUUAAGUAUGCCCUUUUCCAAAUAUUGUAUGUGAUAUACUAUUCAGUUCAUGAAUUCUAAAAAACAAGCAGCUGAUCUUCCUUAUGAAGCAGUGCCUGUGAACAUCUCCAUUUGCAUUUGAAUCCUCAAGCAGUGACAAUCCUGCUUAAAAAAAAAAAAGAAAAAGAAAAAGGGAAUGAUGAAAAUCAGAACAAAAUCUGUCAAGGGCCCAUCUGUGACUGCAUAUCAGAAUAUCACUAAGAUGCUCUGAGGAACAAAGUUGUCUCCAAGUCUAACACAUAGUGCUUUUGUCUACGGAAAUAAUUCAAGAUGGGUGAAAUGAGGGCAAAUAACAUGAAAAACUGUUUCCCUACUGAACAGUCCUGGAAAGCAGCACCUUUGUUUCAUGGAUAAUCUUGUUUGUGAUACACGUACCAGUGCUUAGAUACUAAAGGUUUUACAUGACGAAAUACUCAGCAUGCCCAUAUCUGCUUCAGAUAAGCAUGCAUAGCUGUUGCUUCCAGUCAAGAGUCAGGGAGCCAGGGGUCUUUGGCCCUGGCAGGUGAGAACUUGGGUUAGGUAUGUCUGUGGCAAGCUUUCAUAGCCUGCUACCUGAAGCACUGGGGAAACAAAAGGAUAGACUCCACCCUGGACUUAACAAUACUCUUGAAACCACAUCUAUUUCCUUCUAAAUAGGAACACAUAAAGUUAGGAAAACCUAUUUGUAAGCUAUUUAUAUGUCCUCUUCAGGAUCUGAAUUCCUGCAAGCCUUAGUCAUAGCUCUUUGCUCUCACAUAUGCAAUAUCUGGAACUGACAACUGGAAAUAGGAGAAACAUGGCAUUAAUGUUGUUCUAAUGCACUGUGGGUUUUUUUUCCUUCUAUUUCUUAACUGUUACAGUAUGCAAAUAUUUAGUUAACUGGUCCUCAUGGUUUCUUUUUAUUGAAUUGCUUUCACUAUGGCAAAUAAAUAUUCAUAAAGAAAUGUGGACAAUAAAUCAUUUCCAAUAGUUCAAACCAUUUUCUUUCUAGACUGCAUAUAUAUUCAGCUGUGACUUGCCUUUAAUAUUUAAUUCAAAAGACAGACUUGUAGAAGGACAAUAGAGAUAAUGUGUCAAGCAAUAAUUAAAACAGGGGGUAUGAUUAAAACCAUUUUGAUCUACACUGUGCUCUGUCAAACUCAUAAUCUGCCAUGUUUGCUUAGAUGAUUCUCCACUUGCUUUGUAUGGAACCCAAAAUAAACUUUUGUUUGAAGAUACUGCACAGAACAAAAGAUUUCAACCCUAAGCUUUUGGGACCUGGAGACCUUCCCUGCUCUGGGCUUUGGGUAUGUCUUCUCUAUCAUCCUCACAAGACAAAUCUCAGGCAGCCAUCAUCCCUCAAUUUAACAUGGUGACUUCCCUCGGAAGUAGGUCCAUAUACGUGGCACAAUACAACUAGGGGACAAUCCAAUGUAACCUGGUUCACCAUUUAGACUGAAGCUAAGAGCUCCAAAAGAAGUGCAAGUUAAAGAUACAGGGAGUUUAUACACUUGGGGACCCUGGUUCAAAUUCAAAUUCAAAUAAGAGUGAUAUUUCUUGUUUCACUGUGUGUUUUGGCCACCAAAAUACACCUUGUAUUUGUCCCAGCUUCAUUAUCUUUUCUGAUUUGUUGCUGAUUUUGGGCCAUAACUCAAUAGAGCACUUAUGUACAGACUUAAAGAAAUUGAUUUAAGAAAACACUACUCUGUUUAAUCCUGGGCAGACAUUCAACUUUGAAAUCAAUGGGACUUAUGAACAGCCCUGACCUUGGGGUCUAAAUGGUUGCUGAAUCAGUGCAUUGACAGAAACAUACUGGAAAAGAUAAUAUCCAUGUCUAAUCAGAAUGAUCGUCUCUACUUUCAUGGGAAAUUACCCAUAGAUAACACAUUAUUCUGCUCAAGAAAUCCAUUUUAUAGCAGUUAUUAGAAAACCUUAACACAUUUUCUGUUUGUCAGACAUACUAGGUGAACAGUGUCUCUCCUUGAUAGUGUAUCUGAACUAUACUUCAAAUGAAAAAAUAAAUUACAGGAAAAGUGCUGUCACAAGGGACCAUUUCUAAUUAUUUACUGAGUCUUUCCCAGUUGCCUGCUAUGUGCCAGACUUUUGGGAAACAUGUGGACAGAAGACAAAGCAGUGCGGUUCUGAAAUCCCACGGACUCAGUCAAAGACAAUAGCACAUGAAAUACCAUGUUAUGCAAUAUCACGUAAACAAAGCUAUCUCCUAAGAACUGCACUCACAAGGGAUGCCUGCCCAGUCUACAUAUAGAAUUCUAAGUGAACACAUUCUUAUUACACUGAGAAAAUGGUAAGAAUAAAAGGUGUUUGUUUCUGGUAUAAUAACGUACAGAUUGCACUACUUAAGUGCAACUGUGGCUGAAUCCACAUAGUUAAAAGAAGUAAGUAAAGUAGUUGAUGUUAUACUGCAUGAAAUAAAAA
ensembl:lncRNA